GUGUCAGCAGCCGCGGUAAUACGUAGGGUGCAAGCGUUGUCCGGAAUUAUUGGGCGUAAAGAGCUUGUAGGCGGUUUGUCGCGUCUGCUGUGAAAUUUCGGGGCUCAACCCCGAACUUGCAGUGGGUACGGGCAGACUAGAGUGUGGUAGGGGAGACUGGAAUUCCUGGUGUAGCGGUGAAAUGCGCAGAUAUCAGGAGGAACACCGAUGGCGAAGGCAGGUCUCUGGGCCACUACUGACGCUGAGAAGCGAAAGCAUGGGGAGCGAACAGGAUUAGAAACCCCAGUAGUCC
rnacentral:rRNA from 1 species